rnacentral:rRNA from 1 species
ACAGCAGUCGCCACGGGAAUACAGAGGGUGCGAGCGUUAAUCGGAUUUACUGGGCGUAAAGCGUGCGUAGGCGGCUUCUUAAGUCGGAUGUGAAAUCCCUGAGCUUAACUUAGGAAUUGCAUUCGAUACUGGGAAGCUAGAGUAUGGGAGAGGAUGGUAGAAUUCCAGGUGUAGCGGUGAAAUGCGUAGAGAUCUGGAGGAAUACCGAUGGCGAAGGCAGCCAUCUGGCCUAAUACUGACGCUGAGGUACGAAAGCAUGGGGAGCAAACAGGAUUAGAUACCCCUGUAGUCCCUGUCUCUUAUAC